rnacentral:snoRNA from 1 species
UUUGGUAGCAAUGAUGACUGAACUUUUUUCCCCAGCAGAUCGACUCUGUUGACUUUUUAGAACCAAAAAAUAAGCCAUAUGAUCUGAGCAACCAUA